rnacentral:rRNA from 1 species
CCUACGGGAGGCAGCAGUGAGGAAUAUGGGUCAAUGGGCGGGAGCCGGAACCAGCGAAGUCGCGGGAGGGAAGACGGUCCUAUGGAUUGUAAACCUCUUUAGGCGGGGAGCAAUGCCGGGCACGCGUGCCCGGAGGGAGAGUACCCGCAGAAUAAGCAUCGGCUAACUCCGUGCCAGCAGCCGGGGUAAUACGGAGGAUGCGAGCGUUAUCCGGAUUUAUGGGGUUUAAAGGGUGCGUAGGCGGAUUUUUAAGUCAGGGGUAAAAUGUCCGGGCUCAACCCGGGCCGGCCGUUGAAACUGGGGAUCUUGAGUGGGCGAGAAGUAUGCGGAAUGCGUGGUGUAGCGGUGAAAUGCAUAGAUAUCACGCAGAACUCCGAUUGCGAAGGCAGCAUACCGGCGCCCGACUGACGCUGAGGCACGAAAGCGUGGGGAUCGAACAGGAUUAGAUACCCUAGUAGUC